rnacentral:rRNA from 1 species
UACGGAGGGGGCUAGCGUUGUUCGGAAUUACUGGGCGUAAAGCGCACGUAGGCGGCUUUGCAAGUCAGAGGUGAAAGCCCGGGGCUCAACCCCGGAAUUGCCUUUGAGACUGCAUCGCUAGAAUUGUGGAGAGGUAAGUGGAAUUCCGAGUGUAGAGGUGAAAUUCGUAGAUAUUCGGAAGAACACCAGUGGCGAAGGCGGCACUUGACCUUGGACACAU